rnacentral:rRNA from 1 species
UCAGCUCGUGUCGUGAGAUGUUGGUUAAGUCCGCAACGAGCGCAACCCUCGACCUUAGUUGCCAGCAUUCAGUUGGGCACUCUAAGGUGACUGCCGGCUAAAAGUCGGAGGAAGGUGGGGAUGACGUCAAAUCAUCAUGCCCCUUAUGACCUGGGCUACACACGUGCUACAAUGGGCGGUACAAAGGGUCGCGAACCCGCGAGGGGGAGCCAAUCCCAAAAAGCCGCUCUCAGUUCGGAUUGCAGGCUGCAACUCGCCUGCAUGAAGCCGGAAUCGCUAGUAAUCGCGGAUCAGCAUGCCGCGGUGAAUACGUUCCCGGGCCUU